rnacentral:rRNA from 1 species
UACGUAGGGUGCGAGCGUUGUCCGGAAUUAUUGGGCGUAAAGGGCUCGUAGGCGGUUUGUCGCGUCGGGGAGUGAAAACACCGGGCUUAACUCGGUGCUUGCUUUCGAUACGGGCAGACUAGAGGCAUGCAGGGGAGAACGGAAUUCCUGGUGUAGCGGUGAAAUGCGCAGAUAUCAGGAGGAACACCGGUGGCGAAGGCGGUUCUCUGGGCAUGUCCUGACGCUGAGGAGCGAAAGUGUGGGGAGCGAACAGG